AUGUCACUGCAGCCCUAUAAAUAAAUAACUAUCAGGCAUAUCACCCUGGUCACAUUAGCUCAGUCAGGAAGCUUUACUAUGGAGUAUGGGAGUCGGUGGUGCUUUAUACGUCCCCGGUAUGGGCCAAAGCGCUGUUGACCAAGAGGAAUAGAAACAUCUUGAAGAGGAGACAAAGGGCCGCACUUAUAAGAUCGUCUAUGGCCUACAGAACUGUGUCGCGUGCAGCGCUGUGCAUAUUGACGGGUCUAGAGCAGAAAUUGCUCAAAAUUUUAUGGAAAGGAUGGGGGACGACAGGUAGAGGGAUAAAUGGAGUGUGUACGGAGAAGAUAAUUGGACGAAGAAGAUGAUCAACAAAGAGGUUCACUCCAGGUACUGGGAUUGCGACACGGAAGUAGACGACGCGGAGCAUGCGUUGUUUCACUGCCCUAGGUGGGUCCUCGAUAGGACCGAACUGGAGAGCUAUGUUGGCACGACAUUGACGAGGGGAAAUGUUAUUGAGGAGGUAAUUAAGAAAGAGGACAACUAGAAUAAAUUCCAGGCACUGUGCAGAAGAAUUAUGAAGGCGAGACAGAAACAGGAGAUGGAUGUAUAAAGGAGAAGAAGAAUAGGAACUUACAGAGAUAGUAAUGGAUAAGAUGUAGCGAAGGAAGCGUGGAAGUUAGGGCCAACCCUGAAGUAAUGCCUAAAGGCAGUUCCGGGGUUGGUACCUGUACUACAAGAAGAGCGGUUAGAGGAGAGGUUUUUAGUCGGUAUGGCAACCAUCUGCUGAGUCCCACUUAACCCAAUGACGCGGGUCACUGGGUAUGCGUAAUUUGCAUUUUUCCCUCCUCGCGAAAAAAGGCAUAUCACCCUGGUAAGGUGAGCCAAUGUUUAUCUAUACCUAUUUUACUCUUCAUUAUAAAUUCUCAAACCAUACUACUAUAUCUUAGAUUAACUGCUUACACUUUAAUCAAAAUGAUACUGUUACAACUUUGCUUUAAUGUUACUAAGUUCUUCUACAAAUUUAAUCAAACAUUAAAUUUAUUUAAUUUUUA